rnacentral:rRNA from 1 species
GACGAACGCUGGCGGCGUGCCUAAUACAUGCAAGUGGGACGCAAGGGAACACACUGUGCUUGCACACCGUGUUUUCUUGAGUCGCGAACGGGUGAGUAACGCGUAGGUAACCUGCCUAUUAGCGGGGGAUAACUAUUGGAAACGAUAGCUAAUACCGCAUAAUAUUAAUUAUUGCAUGAUAAUUGAUUGAAAGAUGCAAGCGCAUCACUAGUAGAUGGACCUGCGUUGUAUUAGCUAGUUGGUAAGGUAAGAGCUUACCAAGGCGACGAUACAUAGCCGACCUGAGAGGGUGAUCGGCCACACUGGGACUGAGACACGGCCCAGACUCCUACGGGAGGCAGCAGUAGGGAAUCUUCGGCAAUGGACGAAAGUCUGACCGAGCAACGCCGCGUGAGUGAAGAAGGUUUUCGGAUCGUAAAGCUCUGUUGUAAGUCAAGAACGUGUGUGAGAGUGGAAAGUUCACACAGGACGUAGCUACCAGAAAGGA